AUAAGAGUCCUUUGUAAAAGCGUUUUCAUUUAAAUAAACGUCUACCGUCGAACGACCAAGGUCUUUCGGUUUUUACCAUUGUUCGUCUCUCCUCAUCUAUCUCUUUCUUCGACUUCUUGCGAUUGUAAUUACUGGCUGCGCGCUUCUUUAUUAGUAAGAUAAUAUCCGGAAUAACGGUGGUCCAAUGAAUCAAGGAGAUCACUGCGAAGUUCAACACGGAAACAAUCACUUCUCAACUGGUGUGUGCCUAAUUACGGAGCAAGGAUGAUAAAGUGAAAUACGAGGGAGAAUGGUUAGUACGAGUUAAUUACUCAAACACCAUUACUGUACACUAAAGACGCUAUUAAAUAGCACUUAUUCGACAAAAAUUAAGUGAUUUAUGAAAGCCAGUGAUAAGGAAUGUCAUAAAUUAAUUUCGUUUCACGAUAUGAACAUGAAUAA
rnacentral:misc_RNA from 1 species